CGGAUCAAUAUGCAUAUAUUGACUCAUGGCUAGGGUUAGCUCAAGACCCUCCUACUUGGACAAGGUUCUGUAUCCAGAAGGGAAAGGGAAAAAUAUUAAUGGCACAAAAAUUGACUGAUGAUAAAAAGGGAAAUUCUACAGGAUUUGGACGGGGAUAACCUGACCCCUCCCCCAUACUGGAUAAUGACACGCCUGCCUCCCAGUGCUCCACCAGGACCGGAGGCCGCCUUACUGCCCAAUCCAGGGCCAGGUGAAGCUCUUGCAGCAGCCACUGCUCUUCUACCAGCUCUCUCGGAAUCUGUAGAGCCGCCGUUUCAGCAGGCUCCAAUGCCAGCAAUGGAGACCUCUGGUCAAUGCCCCCAGAUUCCACCUCAGCUGGACCUCCUAGAUUGUAUCCACCUGUCCCGUUAA
rnacentral:lncRNA from 1 species